rnacentral:misc_RNA from 1 species
GCAUCUUCGACUCUGACUGAGCACACGGUUGCUGAACAAAAGGCAAGAACCACGUCACCUUGCCGGAUUCAAUCGAGGAAUCCGGUUUGCCUGAGCACAGCGUCGCGCACACGCCGCAGGUCUCGGCCUUUGAGCGUGCGCCCGGCGCCCUCGAGCAUCGAGAACGGAGCGGCGGGCCCAGCCCCACCAGCGGAUGCGCGGGCGACCAUCUCAUGCGGGGGCAGCAUGGCGGCGUCGCCGCGCCCGAAGUCCGCGUCGUCAUCGAAUUCGUCCCACCGGCCCGUAGCUGGCUUUCGGAGUGGACGCACGGGCACCUUCACGGGCGCCGACUGGUGGUACGGCCGGGCGGGCCCGGCGUUCUGGGGCUUCGCGGUCGCCGGGAUGGCCCGCGCGGAGGAGGUCGGGGACUGGGUGGGCGACAACGCGCCCCCGUUCCCCGACGCCACCGUGGCCGAGGCAGAUGCGGCGGCCGCCGCGAUGGUCGCCUUGCGCCGGAGCAGCGUCCCCGCGCUGGCCGCGGCCGCCACUCCCCCGCCGUGGCCACCGCGAACCAGGAGCCUCCUGUCCCCCUCGUGUAGCGCCAGGGCGGCAAGAAGACCGAGAUGCCCCUGCGGCGCUCCCCGGCCCGGGCUCCUAGGCCCGUCGGGCUGCGGCGCCGCGGCGUCCGGCGACGAGAAGAGGAAGUCGUCCUCGUGGAGUUCGUCCCCAGCGACGAACGAAGGCUCGGUCGGGGACGACGAGGGCGUAGACGGCGACGAGAACAUGCCGAUGAACCGCUCGCCCGCCGGCGACCGGCGCGUCUGGUACUCGUCCAUAGGCGGGCGCGGGCCGCACGCUCCGGCCAGGGGUUCGAGUUCAGGUGGCGACGGGCGGCGGCGGCCGCGGGCGCAUGCGGAUUCGGAACAGAUCGAUUGCCCUCGUCUUGUAUCGGCUCCGAGCGGUGGGCGGGCGAGGGCAAGCCAGGCGAAUUGGUCGGGAACGAAAGAGAGGGCGAGGCGUCGGGGGGUUUGGUUUUUAUGGGAACCGGCGCGGCGCACGGGGG